AUCUCGUGGGGAGGUGAGCAGCCCUGAGAUACGGCUCUGCUGCUCCUCGUUGUGAGUUUAAUUUCUGGUCUGAGAAAAAUCCGUUUGUAAGCAACUGCAGGGGAACGGGGUGAGCUGUGUACAGCAUGGCUUUGUUGUGAGUGAGUUGAAUCUCAUCUCCAUCUCUGGCAGUGUAACAGCUUGCAGAUAAGGGUAAGGCAACGUGUGUCAUAUAGCUUGAUUUUUAGUAGAACUUCUGAUGUUGGCUCGCGAGAUUUUCUAAUAAUAAACUGAAAAACCAGUCUACGUGAUGCUGCUUUAGCAGGGUUGCAGAUCUAGUUGAGGAAAAAUGCACUUGGUAUCAGCACUUGUCUGGGGAACUACCUUCAGUCCAUUACUCAUCCGCAAUGAAACAGGCCCUGUAAUUAAUUACUGUAUUUGAAGAUGAGGCCAAGUUUGAGCUUGUAUGAAUGCACUGCCAGAGAACUAGAAUGCAAAAAGGGGAACUCUAUGGAUAAAAGUAACAGGUGUAGUACUGUAUGCUUCAUAAUUGUGGGUUAAUUGUACUGAUCUUAGGGAAAGCAGCUGUCUGUGCUGCAGGAAAGGAUGGAGGGGCUGCUGUGGGCUGUAAGCUGACUGAGUAUCAACGUCUUGCUGUUGGAGAGGUGAAUGCCAUGCAGGUCUGUGUAAGUGAGAAAACUGCUAAAUAAGGCACAGGCAUCCUGCUAUGCUGAGCUGUGCUAAAACAGUGUGUCCAGUACUGGGCUCCACGUGAGAGAAAUUUGUAUGAUUUAGAUCAUACAAAUGAUCGGUCUUUGAACGCAUGACUUUCACAGAGCCAGAGAGAACAGAAAGCCACAGACAUGGUAAGUCUUCAAAUAGAUGAAAGGAUGCUGCCAUGAGGGAAGGGACAACUUGUUCUCUCAUGUCCACUGGGGGUGGGGUGAGGAGCCAUAGGCUAAAAUAACAGCAAGGCAGAUCUAGGUUACAGUGAAAAAAAUUUCUGUCAUUCUUCUGAACCAGUCAAGCAGUGUUGGACUGACUAGGCAAGAUGUGGGCUCUUCUUAGAGGUUUUAAGAAUAGAUCAGACAAAUAUUUCUCACAGUAGGUGAAGCACAAUAUAAGGUCUUGCGUUCAGGAAAGUGGCUUUGCUUAAUGGGCUCCUAAACCAGUGUUGCUGUGGUUCUGUAGCCCUGAGAUACGUAAUCCUUGCAGCCCUUAUUGGCUUAACGAUAAAACUAGUUCAGCUGCACAGAUUAAAGAUGCUCAACUAGGCCAAGUGACAUUACGUAACGGGAAUGAAAUUGCGUUUAAGCAUGGCUUUAUGUUUUCAAAAUGAUUUUCACCAGAUGGGGUGAAAGUAUCCUAAAUGAGGAGCUCUGCAGAGCUUUUAAGCAUUAAAGGCUAAGGCCUCAUCUUCAGCAUAGCUUUCCAGAGAACGUUCCACCUUUGUUCCUGUGGUAUUGCUGAUGCAAUUAAACUGUGGUAAUCCAGAAAGAAUGCCAAUGUUUUUGAGAUUAAGGCCUUGCAAGCCAAAUCAAAAUGAUUUUAGGAAAAGUAGUUUAGGUCAAUGUGACCUUAAGAUAUAUCUGGGGGGGGGGGGAAGAAAAACAAAGAGCUGGGGCAUCAUUUUCAUUCUUUUUUUUAACACGAGGGCAUACAGUUGGUAACAGCUACUCAAAAAGUGGGUUGCUGUAACACAAACAGGUAUUUGCAGAUAAUAGUGCUUAGUUUGGGAAGCCUUCCAGAAGUGUGUUAUUCACCCCAGUAUUUGAAAACUUAGCAAUUUCUGGCAUUGAGCAUUAUAUCAUGUCUCAUUCUUAAAAGGGGACAAGAAAGGCUGUUUUUUCCAAUUGCAUUCUCUGCAUUUCUGGAACUGCCAUUUAGAUCACAAUUUUUCAAUAUUGAUUUUCAUCAGAAAUACUCUUGAGUUAUGAGGAGUGCUUGCCUUCAGAUCAAAUGAAGUCACCGGUUGAAAUAACUGCAAAUUCAGGAAUUUUAAGCUUGAAAAGUCAAUGUAUCCAAUUGUCCUGGUGGUGGUGGUUGUUGUUUUUGCAUCUUAAUACAACAUUAUGCGCGACAACUGUUAGGACUUCAUACAAUUUGUGCAUGUGUAUUACUUUGUGUACGUCUGUGUGUGUGUUACUGUUGUAAUACAAAAUAAGAAGGAAGGCAGGCUGCUUGCAUAUUGAUCAGACACACUGAGUGGUCUUCUUGCAUACUGGCUUUCUAGGUAAUGAUAAACUUGAUGCUGACUGCUUUCUCCUUCCUGUGGUGGGAGCCUCCGUGCUCAAGCUGGUAGGUCUGGGGCUCCAAGUGCCCACCUUUAGAUCUAAGUGUCCAGUGUGCAAUGCUCAGCAAUGCCUGCCCUGCUGUUAGCCUGCCUUCCAGGGAUUGUGUGCUUGAAUGCAUUUGUUGCAGUUGUCCAAGCAGGACCUGGUGAAUAACAGCAAGGUGAUGGUGUUUGGAUGGUGGUAGUGUUUUACAGUAGCUGCUGCAGAGAAUCAACUCCACUAGAAAAGAAAUAGUGGCAGCAUUUAUUGCUUUUUCUUUUUAGAUCGGCAGUGAAAUUGUACACAGCUGUUUUAAACACUGUCUCAUCUGAGACAUCCACUAGGAGCCAGCCCUGCUAUUUCCUGAGCAUGUCUUCCACAACCAGCAGAGUCUCGUGCCAUGCAGCCUGUGCUCUGCUGCCACAGGAGCUGUGCCCACCUCCCAGGCUGUCAGUUUGCUUCCUCUCCAUCAUCCUGUUGCAGUACCUCCUGACAUCAGGUUUGAGCAGCACCUGAUACGCUGUUUUGCUGUCACACUGUGAACAAUCUCAAUAUUUUUUUUUUCUGUACAAUAACCUUUACUAAGAUUUUGCAUUACAACUAUUAUCAAGAGGAAUUAUUUUCAAGAGAUAGCCCAGGUCCCACCUUCUAUCUUAAAGUCCCAAACCUGUCAGUGCAGGUAUUUCUCAAGUACUGAUGGUGUCUUCUGUCACUCAAGGUAUACUUGGGAACUACAUUUUCAGUUUCUCAGAUCUCAUACAGGUAUUUCUUCCAUCUGCGUGUUGUUGCAUGCUUUCUGUCCUCUAGUGUCUUUCCUGCAUCGCUAUCUUUGUGAUCUCAAGCCUGUCAGUGCAGAUUUGCUAUGUACCAUGCUCCCCAGAUGAGAUAGGCUUUUCCUUAAGAGAGAUUCUUCCUGUGCAAUUCUGGUGCCUUUGAGAAGAUGCCCUUAUUGAUCAUCCCUUUUGGAAGCAUUAGGGUGCUGCUUAUUAGCCCGUAAUGUUUUACCAUUAGUGAAAACACCCCAGUAGCAACCAUUUGCCAUUUCAGAACUUAUCUCUGUGCAUAAACAGGUUUGUGGAGUACCUAUGUUGAGAACGCACCUGUUUUCCUCAUCUCUUUUCCACACCCUUUUCUGCUCUAAUAAAUUCAUGGCAGGUGGCUUCAAACACGAGCUCCAACUUCAGCAGUUGUUCCUGAGCCACUGACAUGGUUGAAGAGGGUUUUGGCACUUGGGCAUCUCUCCAGAAGCCAGCCCUUUGCUGGCUGAGAAUUCCUGCUGUGCAGUUAGAGCUGAUCUGUUUGUUCCACCCCUUUCUUCUGUCAUCUAGUUUGUGUAUGGUCUUCCUGUACUUACACAGGCUUUGGUUAUCCUCCCAUUCCUGGACCAACUAUUUAACAAGAGAAAUGUUUGCACUGGGAAAAAGUGUCUGAGGAUAUGUCUGAUGUGAUCCUUCAGCAGAUGAACAAGAUGCAGUUAUGUGAUGAAGCCAUGAGCUUGGAUAGGGAAUAUAUACAGCUGCUUCAUUUUACUUCUCAGUGUUUUCAGUUCUACAGCUUCUCCAGCCAUUCUAGUUCUGCACACUAGUUGGUUUUGUUGUCAUCUGGAAGAUCAACUCCUAUAGAGGCUUCUUGUGCAGACUGAAAAUUCUGCAGGAGAACGUCGUGUUUCUAUUUGGAGGAUAGCUCUAUAUCCAGUUACUUAAUCUGAAAAGGAACAGCAGGAUAAAUAAUCACAGAAGGGAUUUGAAGUGUUAAUAUGAGGAUCAGAAAAAGAAAUAGGAAGAUGGUAUCUAUCCCAGGAGUCUGGAGAUGCUCAUGCUCUUGAGUUUUGUUGCAACACAGAAAUAAAGGGUGCAUGUUGUGGUCCUGCUCCUGACGCAGCUCUUUUGCCACGCAGGAGGCUUCUGAGGAAGUUACCCUCCAGCUAACUGAAAAACAUGGAAUCGAUGUUAUCAAUGUUAUCAAUAACUCUGAAGCACACAAAUCAGCAGUGGGUGUCAGAAGGGCCCAAGGUUUCAAAAGCAGACUGCAUGGGACCAUCGAAGAAACAGUCAAUUGGAGAUACACCUCAUGUGUGUUUUAGGCAAAGGAGGUUUCCAGUCCUUUCAAGCAGAAUUUCAAGUUGCUGAGCUCGUCCUCCAACCAGCACCACUUGGUACAACUCAGGGCAGCACUUCCAUACCAGGUCCGGCUCAGUAGAACAGUCCAUCCUUGAUCUCAUCAUUUGGCCCAGGCACACCUCAGCACCCAGCAACUUCUCUCAUUCCUACUGAAGAGAUGGGAAUCCAGUGUUCAUCCUGCAAACCCUGCUACACCUUCUGCCUCUGGGAGCAGCAAGCCUCCAUUUGCAAGAAGUGCGUUUGCUGCUUUUGUGGAAUUUAUUAAAGAUUUCUUUA